rnacentral:sRNA from 1 species
GCUGGGUAUAGUGGCGCACACCUGUAAUCCCAGCAGCUCAGGAGACUGAGGCAGGAGGAUUGCAAGUUCAAGACCAGCCUCAGCAACUUAGUGAGGCCCUAAGCAAUUUAGUGAGAACUUGUCUCUA